rnacentral:rRNA from 1 species
GACCUCAGUUCAGGUGAGAUUACCGGCUGAAUUUAAGCAUAUUACUAAGCCGAGGAAAAGAAACUAACAAGGAUUCCCCUAGUAGCAGCGAGCGAACAGGGAAGAGCCCAGCGCUGAAUCCCCCGGGCCUCGCUCGGCGGGAAAUGUAGCGUUUGGGAGGGCCCGUCAACACGGCGACUCGCUCACUGGUUCAAGUCCAACUUGAAUGGGGCCACACAGAGGGUGACAGGCCCGUAGAGCAGGAGCGGUUGUCGUGUGGGUCUCUCCUUAGAGUCGGUUUGCUUGAGAGUGCAGACUUAAGUGGGUGGUAAACUCCAUCUAAGGCUAAAUAUGACCACGAGACCGAUAGCACACAAGUACCGUGAGGGAAAGGUGAAAAGAACUUUGAAGAGAGAGUUCAAGAGUACGUGAAACUGAAGUGGUGUAAACGGACGAGUUCGAAAAGUCCGAAUGGUGAGAUUCAAGCUUACCGUGCCGGUGGCCCUCGGGUUCAGAUGGCGUCGUCAGCUCGGGCUUCGGUUCGGGUCAUACGGCGUCACUCGUCCUGGGGGUAUCUGUCUGGUGCGGUGGGCUGCACUUCUCGCCUAGUAGGACGUCGCGACCCGUUGGGAUGUUCCGUUCACUGGCCCUCGGUGGAGCCCGCGCCGGAGCGUGGCCUUGUGCCGCGUUGCUGUUUGCACGGACCCGGGGUGACCUGAUCGGCGCCCGACGGUAUCAAAGCUUGGGAAGAGGCCGCACAGAGGAUGCGUUCGAUGGCCGUUUCGGCCUACACUCGGACAGGCCUGCACCCGGUCAGCGGC